rnacentral:rRNA from 1 species
GACGAACGCUGGCGGCGUGCUUAACACAUGCAAGUCGAACGGUGAAAGGGAGCUUGCUCCCUGGAUCAGUGGCGAACGGGUGAGUAACACGUGGGCAACCUGCCCCAGACUUCGGGAUAACGCUUCGAAAGGAGUGCUAAUACCGGAUACGAACUCCUUGGGCAUCCUUGGGGUUGGAAAGUUUUUCGGUCUGGGAUGGGCCCGCGGCCUAUCAGCUUGUUGGUGAGGUAACGGCUCACCAAGGCGACGACGGGUAGCCGGCCUGAGAGGGCGACCGGCCACACUGGGACUGAGACACGGCCCAGACUCCUACGGGAGGCAGCAGUGGGGAAUAUUGGACAAUGGGCGCAAGCCUGAUCCAGCCAUGCCGCGUGAGUGAUGAAGGCCUUAGGGUUGUAAAGCUCUUUCGCUGGGGAAGAUAAUGACGGUACCCAGAUAAGAAGCCCCGGCUAACUUCGUGCCAGCCGCCGCCGUAAAAC